CCCCUCUCAAGGUCCCACCUGGAGAGUUGCCAGUACUCUACCAGUCUCGACUAUGGGAGGGCCAGUCAAGCAGAGGCAUAUCCAUUCCUUUCCUAGCUUGGCCAGAGGCUAGCGAGUGGAAGGUCAUCUGCUAUAAGU
rfam:Ornithorhynchus anatinus chromosome X1, whole genome shotgun sequence.